AAAUGGCACAAAUCUUUGGUUUAAAGCAGCAACAUUUAAAAAAAACCAUAAAAAGUAGUACGGUUGAAGCUUUUACAAGAAGAUCCAAUGCGUGCUGUAUUGCUCGACAUAUUCCUCUUUCAUCUUUGCAAUGACUCAAUUCUCUCUGGGAAUAUAUUCUUUGGAUUGUUUUUAUAACAAUAAAAAGACAUUGUCUACUGGAAGGGAUGUGAUUGUACUGGCAGCUGUCCUUCGACUGACAUGACAGCCAGCACAUAUCUUGGAGUCAUCCCCUUAUUUUAAUGAUGAACAGCCAUCCCAAGGCAAGAGAGGUGUGGCAAAGACUGGGUCAUCCAGGGCAUGCAACGCCGCUAGUGUUUCUUUUCCAGUCCAGGCAGAAGGGUGUACAACGCUGGGAGAAGUCCGAGGGAGAGGAAAAGAACAUUGGACAAGCACCUUUGGCCUGAGUUUUGCCAGCGUGGCGGCGUGAUGCCCAAGAUUGGAGAUACUCCUUGUCCUUCAGCCUUGCAGAACCUCUACGGUUUCCUCUUGACCAUGUCAUUAAUGGGCCUCCUUGCCAGUGGGCAGCACCUAUGUCAGAAAGAGUCCAUCGGACUUCUACGUAGCAUCAUCAAGUGUGUGGGCAACUCCAGCGACGGGACCCUGUUCACCCCAGACAAUAUCACUGUGCGUAUCUCCGGCAGACAAUAUUUACAACGCGGGACGGGGGGGUAUUUGGCACAAUCUUCUUCCUCACAAGCAGCCUGUGAACUUGGUGCUUGUCCGUGCAUAACCCCCCACCCUGAAAUGGACUCCUCAAGCUAUGUAUUUGUUUGUUUGAUUAAUCAUUUCUCUAUCCUACUUUUUCAAAACAAAAGCCAACUUUUCCAGGGGGGCUUAUAAACAGAUAAAGCAAAUAAAAAGACAACAGUGUAACCAAAAUCGCAAAAUCUAGAAGCAGCAGGUAAGAACAGCCGCAUAAGAUAAUCCCCGCCUUCGACGGUUAACAUAAGAGCUGUCAAAAGAGCUCCAAUAAGCCACCUGCCUCAACAUCCUGUGUCUUGACAG